GAUGAACGCUAGCGGCAGGCCUAAUACAUGCAAGCCGGACGGCAAGUUGAGUAGCAAUACUUGACCUAGAGUGGCGUAAGGGUGCGUAACACGUAUGCAAUCUGCCCACAGCCGGGAGAUAGCCCUCCGAAAGGAGGAUUAAUAUCCCAUAGGAAGAUGAGAUGGCAUCAUUUUAUUUUUAAACUACGGGGCUGUGGAUGAGCAUGCGGUUGAUUAGCUAGUUGGCGGGGUAAAGGCCCACCAAGGCGAUGAUCAAUAGGGGACCUGAGAGGGUGAUCCCCCACACUGGCACUGAGAUACGGGCCAGACUCCUACGGGAGGCAGCAGUAGGGAAUAUUGGACAAUGGGUGUAAGCCUGAUCCAGCCAUGCCGCGUGCAGGAAGAAGGCCUUCUGGGUUGUAAACUGCUUUUGUACGGAACGAAACGGUCCUUUUAAUACAGAGGGCUAAUGACGGUACCGUAAGAAUAAGCACCGGCUAACUACGUGCCAGCAGCCGCGGUAAU
rnacentral:rRNA from 1 species